rnacentral:rRNA from 1 species
GAUGAACGCUGGCGGCGUGCCUAAUACAUGCAAGUCGAACGAGGUGCUUUUGUAUCCAUACGAGAGUAUCCUAGUGGCGAACGGGUGAGUAACGCGUUGGUGACCUACCCGCAUGUGUGGAAUAACAGUCCGCAAGGAUUGCUAAUACCGCAUGUGGUCAUCGGGAUUAGGAGCUGAUAACUAAAGGAGCAAUUCGGUGUGGGAGGGCCCUGCGUCCCAUCAGCUAGUUGGUGAGGUAAUGGCUCACCAAGGCUACGACGGGUGGGGGACCUGGGAGACUGACCACACACGAUGGAACUGAAGCACGGUCCAUACACCUGCGGGAGGCAGCAGUAGGGAAUAUUGCACGAUGGACGAAAGCCUGAUGCAGCAACGCCGCGUGAACGAGGAAGGCGUUCGGGUCGUAGAGUGCUUUUCUGGGGGAUGAGGAGGGACAGUAACCCAGGAAUAAGUCUCGGCUAACUACGUG